AUGCUCACUCGGCAGCACAUAUACUAAAAUUGGAAAGAUACAGGGAAGAUUAUCAUGGCUCCUGCACACACAGGAUGACACACGAAUUUGUGAAAUGUUCCAUAUUUUU
rnacentral:snRNA from 1 species